CAGGAUCCAAAGAAAAAAUAUGACGUAUAGCAAGAUAAACUUUUAAUGAAGGAACAAAAAGAUUCAACUUCCUCAAAUGCAACAGGAGCAAAAGGCUUUUGAACUAGAACCACCCAAUCUGUAAUCAUGGUUGGUGAUCCUCCAAGCCGUGAGGUGAAGACUCUGGAUGCAAGAUUGAGCCUCGUUCCAUGGUGAGCAGAUCUGGAAAGUUGGACAGGGACACAUGACUACCAUUGGAUAGAACCAGCAGUGUGGAGAACCAAGCCAGCUGAGGCCACCAUGGUGCAAUGACAAUCUGCAUGGCAGAGGGCCAGAUGUGACUGAGGCACCAAGUGACACCAAGACACCAAAUGUGACUGAGGCACCAAGUGACACCCAAGGGCCGGAUGUGACUGAGGCACCACUGACUUGGUGACUGGCACCAAGUCCAAAUUUCCAAGGCUAGCUGGCACAGUGCAGAUGAGUGUGUUCUGCCUUGGUGAUUCAAGUAGGACAUCACCAUCACAUUGUUAAUCAUGACCAAUACAGAAGUGCCUUUCAACAGUGGUAGGAAUGAUUUCGUGGUUUUCCAGAUGGCUAAGAGUUUGAGUUGGUUGAUGUGGAACUUGUAUUUGUGGUCAUUCCAAUGUCCAGCCACACUAUGGUUGGCCUGUGUGCGCAUCCAGUUUGAAGAAUCUGUUGUAAAAGACAUUGUGGCCAGAAGCAGGAUAAAUGGCCUGCCUUCGAGUAGGUUGGAGACCUUGGACCACAAAUGUAUAAACCGAUAACUAUCAUCUGGAAUCAGGAGCUGUGCGGGGGGUGGGGUGUAGUCCUCCUGUGGGUGAAAGAUGGACAGGAACCAUUGUCAUAAUGGACUCAUUCGAAGGUGAGCCAGCAAUAGGAUGCUGGUAGUGGAUGCCAUAAAGCCCAGCAUCUUCUGAAUGGACCGCGCUGGAUGUUUCUGUAAGGCCAAGAUUUUGUGGGCCAUGGCCCUGAUGUCAGUAAUUCUUCAGGAUGGCAGAGAAGCUAGCAUAUUUUGUGAGUCGAGAAUUGUGCCUAAAAACUCUAUAGUCCUUUGUAGGUGUUAAAUUUGACUUCUCCCAAUUAAUAGAUACCUAGAUGGUCUGAAAGUGUCAAUGUGGUCUGAAUAUACUGAUGCAAGCUCUCUCUGGACUAUGACACUGAGAGCCAAUCAUCCAAAAAUGGAAAUUGAUGAAUGGUCUGCUGAUGAAGAUGGGCUACCAUGACCAUGCACUUGGAAAAGACUUUGGAGAAGUGGAAAGGCCUCCUGAUGCAAAAACAAAGGAAUUUCCUGUGGAUAGGACCCCUUAGCCCACUUGAUUGAGGACAAAGAAUACGACCUGGAAUGGGACCUAUAAUGCCUUGGGAAGUAUGCACAUCUAUGAACUUGCUCUCUAUUGUCUGGUUCCCAGUAUAGUCACCUAUGGAAAGGUAAUGACACCAUGGGUUCCAUCCGUACCUAUUCCACAUGCCUAUUGUAAUAAUAAUUGGAGUAGCUUGGGAACCGUCUAUAGCGUCAUUCAGGUGAUCCCUAUU